rnacentral:rRNA from 1 species
GCACAAGCGGUGGAGUAUGUGGUUUAAUUCGAUGCAACGCGAAGAACCUUACCUGGUCUUGACAUCCCGGAGACCCUUAGGAAACUAGGGGGUGCUUCCAUCUGGAAGAAUCUGGAGACAGGUGCUGCAUGGCUGUCGUCAGCUCGUGUCGUGAGAUGUUGGGUUAAGUCCCGCAACGAGCGCAACCCUUGCCUUUAGUUGCCAGCACGUUAUGGUGGGCACUCUAAGGAGACUGCCGGUGACAAACCGGAGGAAGGUGGGGAUGACGUCAAGUCCUCAUGGCCUUUAUGACCAGGGCUACACACGUACUACAAUGGCCGAUACAAAGGGCAGCGACACUGCGAGGUGAAGCCAAUCCCGUAAAAUCGGUCUCAGUCCGGAUUGGAGUCUGCAACUCGACUCCAUGAAGUUGGAAUCGCUAGUAAUCGUGGAUCAGCAUGCCACGGUGAAUACGUUCCCGGGCCUU